CUUUAGCCCCGAUUGCAGUGAAAAUCCUUUGAGAGGAACAACAAAGAUUGAAGCUAAAAGCGGGAACUAUA
rnacentral:sRNA from 1 species